UGUAAAGCACUUUCAGUUGUGAGGAAAGGUUAACGGUUAAUACCCGUUAGCUGUGACGUUAGCAACAGAAGAAGGACCGGCUAACUCCGUGCCAGCAGCCGCGGUAAUACGGAGGGUCCGAGCGUUAAUCGGAAUUACUGGGCGUAAAGCGCACGCAGGCGGUUUGUUAAGCUAGAUGUGAAAGCCCUGGGCUCAACCUGGGAAUUGCAUUUAGAACUGGCAGGCUAGAGUUUUGGAGAGGGGAGUGGAAUUCCAGGUGUAGCGGUGAAAUGCGUAGAUAUCUGGAGGAACAUCAGUGGCGAAGGCGACUCCCUGGUCAGUAACUGACGCUCAUGUGCGAAAGUGUGGGUAGCGAUCAGGAUUAGAUACCCUGGUAGUCCACACCGUAAACGCUGUCUACUAGCUGUUUGUGGAUUUAAUCCGUGAGUAGCGAAGCUAACGCGAUAAGUAGACCGCCUGGGGAGUACGGCCGCAAGGUUAAAACUCAAAUGAAUUGACGGGGGCCCGCACAAGCGGUGGAGCAUGUGGUUUAAUUCGAUGCAACGCGAAGAACCUUACCUACUCUUGACAUACUGAGAACUUAGCAGAGAUGCUUUGGUGCCUUCGGGAACUCAGAUACAGGUGCUGCAUGGCUGUCGUCAGCUCGUGUCGUGAGAUGUUGGGUUAAGUCCCGCAACGAGCGCAA
rnacentral:rRNA from 1 species